GACGAACGCUGGCGGCGUGCUUAACACAUGCAAGUCGAACGGAAAGGCCCUGCUUUUGUGGGGUGCUCGAGUGGCGAACGGGUGAGUAACACGUGAGUAACCUGCCCUUGACUUUGGGAUAACUUCAGGAAACUGGGGCUAAUACCGGAUAGGAGCUCCUGCUGCAUGGUGGGGGUUGGAAAGUUUCGGCGGUUGGGGAUGGACUCGCGGCUUAUCAGCUUGUUGGUGGGGUAGUGGCUUACCAAGGCUUUGACGGGUAGCCGGCAUGAGAGGGUGACCGGGGGGAACAGGGAGGAGAGAGGGCGGAGAGGGGUACGGGAGGAAGCGGGAGGAAGUAGUGGACAGUGGGGGGGGGCGGGAGGAAGCAACGCGGGGGGGGGAAGGACGGUUGGUGGGGAGAAAAAAGAAGAGGGCAGUGACAAAGCGUUGGGGACGGUAAGGGGUAAAAAAGCAGGGGAGAACUCCGUG
rnacentral:rRNA from 1 species